UACAGAGGUCUCGAGCGUUAGGCGGAAUCACUGGGCUUAAAGCGUGUGUAGGCGGAUCGUUAAGUGCCUUGUGAAAUCCCACGGCUUAACCGUGGAACUGCUUGGCAUACUGGCGGUCUUGAGCAACCUAGGGGCGAGCGGAACAAAUGGUGGAGCGGUGAAAUGACGUAGAUAUCAUUUGGAACGCCAAUGGUGAAAACAGCUCGCUGGGGGUUUGCUGACGCUGAGACACGAAAAGCCAGGGGAGCAAAGCGGGGAUUAAGA
rnacentral:rRNA from 1 species